rnacentral:rRNA from 1 species
UACGUAGGGUGCAAGCGUUAAUCGGAAUUACUGGGCGUAAAGCGUGCGCAGGCGGUUAUAUAAGACAGUUGUGAAAUCCCCGGGCUCAACCUGGGAACUGCAUCUGUGACUGUAUAGCUAGAGUACGGGUAGAGGGGGAUGGAAUUCCGCGUGUAGCAGUGAAAUGCGUAGAUAUGCGGAGGAACACCGAUGGCGAAGGCAAUCCCCUGGACCUGUACUGACGCUCAUGCACGAAAAGCGUGGGGAGCAAACAGG